CCUCUUCGAUCUGCUGCGGGCAGAUGAAGUGAAUGUGGCUGUCGAUGCCGCCGGCCGUCAAAAUCCGUCCCUCGCCGGCAAUCACCUCGGUGCCGGGGCCAAUCACCAGGGUCACGUCGGGCUGGAUGUCGGGGUUGCCGGCCUUGCCGAUCCCGGCGAUACGGCCAUCGCGCAGGCCGACAUCGGCCUUGACGAUGCCCCAGUGGUCGAGGAUUAGGGCAUUGGUGAUGACCGUAUCGAGGGCCCCUUCGGCGCGGGAGCGUUGCGACUGGCCCAUGCCGUCACGG
rnacentral:sRNA from 1 species